rnacentral:rRNA from 1 species
UACGAAGGGGGCUAGCGUUGCUCGGAAUCACUGGGCGUAAAGCGCACGUAGGCGGGUCUUUAAGUCGGAGGUGAAAUCCUGGAGCUCAACUCCAGAACUGCCUUCGAUACUGAGGAUCUCGAGUCCGGGAGAGGUGAGUGGAACUGCGAGUGUAGAGGUGAAAUUCGUAGGUAUUCGCAAGAACACCAGUGGCGAAGGCGGCUCACUGGCCCGGUACUGACGCUGAGGUGCGAAAGCGUGGGGAGCAAAUAGG